rnacentral:rRNA from 1 species
AGCAGCCGCGGUAAUUCCAGCUCCAAUAGCGUAUAUUAAAGUUGUUGCAGUUAAAAAGCUCGUAGUUGAAUUUCGGGAUUAGUGCGCUGGUCAUGCCUUUGGUAUGUACUGGUGUUACUGAUUUCUACCUUCUGAAGAACCGUUAUGCCAUUUAUUUGGUGUGGCGGGGAAUCAGGACUGUUACUUUGAAAAAAUUAGAGUGUUUAAAGCAGGCUCGCGCUUGAAUACAUUAGCAUGGAAUAAUGAAAUAGGACGUUUGACCCUAUUUUGUUGGUUUCUAGGAUCGACGUAAUGAUUAAUAGGGAUAGUUGGGGGCAUUAGUAUUCAAUUGUCAGAGGUGAAAUUCUUGGAUUUAUUGAAGACUAACUACUGCGAAAGCAUUUGCCAAGGAUGUUUUCAUUAAUCAAGAACGAAAGUUAGGGGAUCGAAGACGAUCAGAUACCGUCGUAGUCUUAACCAUAAGCUAUGCCGACUAGGGAUCGGAUGAUGUUAUUUUUUAAUGACUCAUUCGGCGCCUUAC